ensembl:processed_transcript 1810026B05Rik RIKEN cDNA 1810026B05 gene
GUGUGCCAUUUUGAAGACUGAGACCAUAGAGUUCUAAGAAUAAAGGAAAGAGCCCUUGGGAAAUUAUUAUAUAUAGCAACUUUAAAGGAUUAACAUGACCAAAGAUGUUGCAGCUAGUCACCAGUGUUUUUGGAUCAUAACAUGACAUAGAUUUUUAGCAUAUAAAAUAGAAAUGUGAAUCCUCAGAUGGAAUGAAAGGCCUGCACCAUAGACAUCGAAGCAUUUACACCCCGCUUGAAGAGUUUGAAAUGGACUUUACCACUGAGAAAUCAAGAUGGCAGCCCAUUAUGGGGAAUUGAGGAAAAUGGAUUAAUGCAAGAAUGCUGUAAUAUUAUACAACCAACACAGGAUUCUUUUAAUGUGGAU